rnacentral:rRNA from 1 species
CGAAAGGGAAACAGCCCAGAUCAGCAGCUAAGGUGCCUAAAUAGUGCUCAGUGGAAAGGAGGUGGGAUUUCAUAGACAGUGAGGAUGUUGGCUUAGAAGCAGCCACCAUUUAAACAAAGCGUAACAGCUGACUCAUCGAGAAAUCCUGCGCCGAAAAUGAUUGGCGAUAAGCACUAUACCGAAGCUCUGGAUGUCAUUGGCCUGCGGGCCAGUGGCGUGGUAGAGGAGCAUUCUCAACACGUUGAAGCCAUAAGGUGACUGACGGUGGAGAGUUGAGAAGUGAGCAUGUAGACAUGAGUAACGAUAAGCCAGGUGAAAUCCCUGGCCGCCGUAAACCCGAGGUUUCCUGGGCAAUGCUGGUCAUCCCAGGGUUAGUCGGGACCUAAGCCGAGGCCGAAGGGCGUAGGCGAUGGAAAGCUGGUUAAUAUUCCAGCACCUCCUUUGAUUUAAACUAGAAGGACGCGGAUUCGGAAAGAGCCUGCCGGCUGAAAGUGGCAGGGGCGCAAGCUGACUUGGAUCCUUCGGGUGAAGGGGAUCUCUUAAAGAAUCUGCCAAGAAAAGUUCUAGUGCAUAGACUAAGGAGCCCGUACCGUAAACCGACACAGGUGGGUGAGUAGAAUAUACUAAGGCGCAAGAGUGAAACCCUGUUAAGGAACUCGGCAAAUUAGCCCCGUAACUUCGGGAGAAGGGGUCCCGGGACUUGUCCCGGGCGCAGUGAAAGGGCCCAUCCGACUGUUUAGCAAAAACACAGCA